GUGAAUCAUCAAAUCUUUGAACGCAAAUUGCACUUUCUGGUAUUCCGGAAAGUAUGCCUGUUUGAGGGUCAGUUAAAUAAAAAUCGGUUUUGUUUCUUCCUUUCGUUGUUACGCGUCGGGAUCUGGUCGUCUUACCUUCGGUUAAGUGACUUAAAAUUUUUGCAUGAUUUUCUAACGUCUUUAAUUCGCUUACUUACGUUUGAUAUCUCUAAUGCUUAUUAGGUUCGGUCAUUCCCAUGAUUCGCGCCUAUAAUUUUUCAUUAAAUUACCUCCACUCCGGUAAGCAUACCCCCCUAA
rnacentral:misc_RNA from 1 species